AUAACAAUAAUAAAAAAAAAAAGCUGCAGCAGCAGAAAGACAGAGUGGGCUGUAACUUGGGGCUGAAGGAAGGGAAAGGCAGCAGCAUCCAGAGCUGAUCAGGAAAGUAAGAAAAAGAGGAGGAAGAUAAGAGUGUUACCUUCCAUACCUAUUUAUCCUUAGAGAGAAAGAGCUGUUACACUUGGAAUGGUGCCUUUGUAUCUGGAAGGCAGCAGUCUGGCAUGUUGAGCUUUACUAAACUCGAGUUGCUGUAGCUGUUGAAAGUACAGGGAUUUCUGUUGCCCAAAACCAACUUGGCAGAGAGAAAGGGAAUGAUUUCAUGUGUGUUCCCCCCGGCUUGGAAAGGAGAGGUACAGCACAGAUUAUGACUUAUUCCUUGUGCUUCUGUGACUAGUGCUUUGUGGGAGCACUCCUUAAAAGUUGAGACGUGGCCAAAACAUAAUUCAGCUUAAAUGUUGAAUGUCUGUGACAUAGAAACCUUCAGCCAAACAGUGUAUACUUCUGUUGUACUUCUAAUUGUAGUACCAUUUGAAUAAGUAUCUAUAAUACAAAUACAAAACAGGUGAUUAAAAGCAGGGUGGAGAUUAAAAAUCAUGAAUUACUGCAAUAAUUGAAAUGAUGAUUGAUCUCAAACAGUGAUAGUGUAGACAAAGUUUAAAUAAUUCUGGUCAAUAACAAGAGGAAGUUAGACAUUUUGUUCUUGGGCUUAAUUUGCUAGAAUUUUUUUUAGUUAUUUGACCAUUUGGGUAUUCAGUACCAGAGAAGUACUUUCAGGAAUCUAAAACUGUGAACCAAACGUUUGGAAGUCCAGAUAUACAGAUAUAUUAAGAAGAAGAUAUAGUUUAGAAGUGAGUGACCUAAGAAGGUCAGUUGCCACUCAGUGCCCAGAAGAGCCAGAAUGAUGGGAAUCAGCACAUUCACCUAACAUGCUAACUGCAUCCCAGCCCUUCCAGAACACAAGAAUCUCCGAUCUCAUGAUCUUCUGUGAAAAAGGUAAGGUCUGGAGAUGGCACCUCUUGUACUUCGGUUUUCAUGAACUUAGUGCUGACUAGGACUGUGAUUAAGUUUGAUAGAAUUUAUGUCCUCUCUCUCAUCUCUGAAGUUCAGCAGAGCUUUGGAGUUUCUUUAACCAAUCUGGAAGACUUAAAGAAUCUGGCUAUCCCCUCUGAUUUAUUCAGAGAUUUUGGUGUCUCAUAGUGAUUAAGUAUGGGUGUUAGGUGAGAGAAAUUUCUCGUAAACAAAAUACAAAUUUUAUGUCAAAUUCAGCAUAGUUUAUAAAUCUUAGGACUUCAUAACAUGAAAAUAUCUUUCCAUGGCAUCUGUUGGCAAACUUUAAAAGAAAAGAGUGCUAUGUUUUUCUCUAUGCACGUCACUUUAAUUAUUUGAAAUGGGCUUUUCCCAUGGCAUAGUUAUUCCAGGCACUCCUUUCUAUUGCCUUUAUCAAAGGCAACAUGCUCAGUGUUUGAUGGGCCAGCCUAGAAGCGUGCCACAUCAAACUGUACAGCAGUCACGGUUCUCACUAACAACCGUUAAAAGAAAGAUCUUACUUCAAAGAGAUGAAGAAAAUUGUCUUUUAGUGUAAAACUGUAACAUAGGUCAAUAGAAAUAUCUACGAUUUAGCUUUAUUUUCCAUAUUAUUCCUUCCUAGUGAUGCAACCAGUAAAUGUAGCACAGGGGAUGAUACUCUUGAGAGUUAGACACUGUUGUGGACGUUUGUAGAUGUUUUUCCUGCACCCAUUACUGAAUCUUGGUGCAUUAAGGCUGCUUCAGGUCCAGAAUGAGUGCCGGCCCAAGUAGACAUUGCUGCAAGAGCUGUGCAAGGCAGAGAUGGACUGCAGGGGCUUUACAGAUGUCCGCAGGGAGCUGAGCACUGUUUGUUCAGGCUGCAGAAUCUGUUCUCAAAUGAAACACAGCUGAAGAAGCUGGGUGACACUGUAUCCGUAGGAAUACUGAGACUGUUUUGACCCUGACUAUACAAGAUUAUUUUGAAGAUAGCACUGGUCGAAAUCAUUAACUGUGCUCAAGCUGUGCUUGUAAUACGCUCAAACUGAGCACAUUAAUUAUGCUCAGAAUGCAAGCAAGAUGAAAGAAGGGAUGCAGAGCUGCUGACUAAAUCUGCAGCUACAUGUCUGUAUCUCCUGUCAAAUUCUGCUUAAGAGCCAGUAGGUGCUUCAGGAAUGUUGUCACAGCCACUUCCCAGCCCAUUUGCAUUCUUUGUAGAUUCACCAUUCACUGCUUGAGACAGUGAAUAUGUGUAGAUUGAACCGUACAAAUACAGCAACUAUUUCUCUGAAAAGCUCAUCUUUUUGGUAUUGCACUAAGAUAUCAAGCUGAAAACCAAUCAGAAAACUCAGUGCAGGAUACCACUGUGAAUAACACUACCAGAUUUUCCACAUCCUCAAGCAGGGACCGGUACAGAAUCCUGUGUGCAUCAAUGACAGGUGCAACAUCUUUGUGUGGGUUGCAGUCUGUAAGAUAGUGUCUGGAAGGCUGAGCUACCACAGUGGGGAGGAUCUGGAAGCAAGAUUGCAUCUGCAGCUGGAGCAGAGGAGCAGGACAGCAUGGGGAAUAAUGCUUCUUGCAGCAAAUAAAUAGAGAGAAGGGGGCUCCUGAAGGAACAAAAACGCACAUGGAUGGCAAUAGGCCAUUUGGUUUAGUGAACAUGAGCACCUAGGCCAGGAUGCGUGGUGCAUAGCUGUAACAGGGCAGCACUGCAUUCCUCUCAACAUCUCUUUCAUUUCCUGGCUCUGCUAUCAAAAGUGAUGACAGGCAGGUCUAAGGCUCAGUCCCUCAUGACCAGCUACAAACUAAAGGAAUUAUUACUGCUUGUUUAAGCUGCUGCGAGUGUGCUGCCUCCCAGCUUUUUGGUGUGGGCUUCUUGGGCCAUGUUAGGGCUACAGCAAUCCAUGGAACAAGCUGUGGGCCCUGGUACUCCAGCACCAGCUUCUAAAGUAAGUAAUUUAUCUUAAAAGAGAAUAUUGGUGAAAUGUCAGUCUUAGCAAAUUUGUUCCAUGGAGCAUGUCUUGAAAUCUCGAAUACUUUUUGGAAUAAACUAUUUAUCAUUAUCUCAUUUACAUGAAGCCUUAGUGCCUUUCUGUAUGCUUGUAUUUGUCUUUUUGUUAGUAUGUUAAUCAGAUAAAUCUUAUAUUCUUUGCUACUAGACUAAAGUUCUCCUCUAACUAAGUUUUAAGGGAGGUUUCAUGCUAAUAAAUAUGGACUUCCUAACUCUCAACUUCAUUCUAGGUAACCCAAAACUGAAUUAGAUAUCCUGUAUUCUGAAUCAGAUAUCCUGUAUUAUUCAUCAGACUUAUUUUUACAGGUGGGAAAGGAAAACAUCAAAAUUGUACAGAGCCAUUAAGAGAUACAAUUCUCCAGUUAUUAAUGCAUUGAAGCAACAUUCCCAGUUCUGUGCAGACAAGCGUCAAGAAAAGCCAGUGAAGGAAAGGAACUAAGUGGAGAAUCAGGAAUCAAUGCAGAAUUUCCAAUUUCUGUGAAAAAUGACAAUUUCCCUUUACGCAAGGAGUGACAGCCUUUCCCUAAGCAAGACAGAACACUGGCCUUAAGAACAAGUGCUGACCGUGCCAUUGUACGAUUCAACAUGCUGCUAAAAGCACUGCACCUUGAUUUGAACUUUUUAAAGAGGAAGUGACUGUUGGCCAGAGGAUCAACUGGAAUACCACAGCAAAAUUCGUGUUAUUUAUUUUAUGAACAUUAAGAUCAUUUACGGAUAAGAGAAAGUGCUUUAUGCUUGCUGAGACUAAGAUUCAUCCUAGCUGUUGUUACAUGUCUGCAUUGUAGCAGUCAUCCAGAUUGCUUUUAUAGCCUCUGGAGAGAACAGUCACCAUCAAGGAUAAAUUUGCCUGAUGUCUUCUGCCAGAUGAGACUGAACUUCGCAGUAUUUCAUUUUUAAUGUAUGGACUGUGAAGGGUAUCAAUGCAUCUCAGGUGUCAGUGUCUACAUUACAGAAUGUAAAUUUAGACAAGCAAAUCCCACCUUCAGUUCCCCAGUAAAUGAUCACACAAACAAUCCUAUUUCUUUAACAGGACACUCUGAAACUGAAAUGUCUCCAGCUCUUCUCUGAGUGUAUCUUUCCCACUGUUAUUUCAUCAUCUUAUGAUUCUAUCAAUGAUGAUAACAAAAGGAGGUAAAACAUGCACAUACUGAAAGGGAAAGUUGUGAUAGGACAAAAAUGCAUUCAGAUGGUAUUCUUCAACAUUCCUGUUAGAUUUAUGACUAGAAAUUUAAUAUGUGAGGUAUGGUUCAGUGACCUAGCAUUACUAGUUAACGGGUCAUUCCUGUAAAAUCCAACGAAUCCUAGCAAUUUGGUGCAAUCAGAUGUUGGCAUACAGCCAGAAUGAAAACAAAAAGACAACUCAGUUGAUCAGAGUUUGACACACAGCCAUAAUAAGACCCCAAAUUUUUACUUCUAUGUAGCUUAGGAUUUGGCCAGACCUGAGAAGUUUAUUCCCCUCACUAGAGAGAGAACACAAACAAGAAGUAGCUUUACUCCAGCUACAGUGGAUUUCAUUAUAUCUAAGGGAAAAAGCAAGCAACCAACAUAAAUUACCACCAUCACUCAUCCUUUGAAAUCCGUAACCUAACUUUAUUUUAGUUUUCUCAUUUGUGCUCUAUUGGCAGAUCACAACGGGUAGGUUUGGUGACUGCAAGUCUCUCUUGUUGACUUGUCUACACUUGCAGACAGCUCUUAUUGCCUUCUCUCUUGUAAACCACUGGGGAGACCCUUUGAAGAAGCUUCACAUGCUUCAGCCCGUCACGUCUAUUACAUUCAGAAACACCAGCAUGAAACCUAACACAAACACAGUACCCGCGUAAGCAAUUUGUAGGUUCCCAAAUAUUGGUGUUACCCAUGCACAGUGAUCAGCAUGUACUGUACCCAAGCAAGCAGCCGCUCCCACCAUAGCAUAAAGUCCUGGUGUGACGCAGUCUGCCCCAGGUCUGCACCAGUUCCUGAAGAUGAUCCAGUCAUGAUGGUGAUAGGCCAGCUGCUCUACUCCAAUUCCAACCAUCCUGCCAGCCAUGGCUCCAACAGCCAUACUGGGAAUGAAAAGGCCUGAAGGAAUCUUGAAUAAAAUACAGAAGCAUGAGAGCACUGAAAAAAAUGAUCAGUAAUGAAAUUAUACAUCAAGCAAUUAAUUAUUUAUUUUUGGCAAUAAGAAAACCCAUUUCCAUUAAAAGCUAGAUCAGAAGGUCAUAGUAUUUUUGGCAGCUUGUAGUGACGUUCCUUAUGUUUUCCCAUAGGUUUAUACAGUGACUUUGCAUGGCUGCAUGAAUAUUAAUAGCUUUAUAUAAUUCAAAUGCAUUUUAGAAGCCAUUUGGAACUCUUCCUGCUGCAUCACACUGAAUUUGACAGUUAAAUGGUGGUUUUGAGUCAUAGCCUGAUUUUAAAGUAAAGAUGUUCCUGGUUUUUCCUUCAUUGCUUCCUCGUCAGAAGCUGCUGAUGGCUCUGUCAAGGGCUCGAGAAUAAGCUUAACUGAAAAUAUCUUGAGAUUCAAAUCUCUAUCACAUGAAGUAUUUUACACCUUUGUUACUAGUCUUUCAGGCUAAAUCAAACCAGAUUUUAAAUUAAAUGUCAAACAGAAUAAAAAUUUAAGGAUAGGAGGCCGAGUGCUCAGAAGCAGAUAUUUCUUCAUCUCAGAUUGCUAUGUAUUUUCCUGGAAGAUCUAUGAAUCAUUUCCUUUUUGUCUGCUAAACAGAAAAGUCACAGAUCACUAAAAAAAGACAGUACUGAAACCAAACCAACCAACCAACCAAAAGAAAAAAAAAAAAAAGCAAACACACAAA